rnacentral:rRNA from 1 species
CCAAUUCACGGAGGCAGCAGGCGCGCAAUUACCCAAUCCUGACUCAGGGAGGUAGUGACAAGAAAUAACAAUAAACCGGCUUAUGCCGGUUUAAUUGGAAUGAGUACAAUUUAAACAUCUUAACGAGGAACAAUUGGAGGGCAAGUCUGGUGCCAGCAGCCGCGGUAAUUCCAGCUCCAAUAGCGUAUACUAAAGUUGUUGCAGUUAAAAAGCUCGUAGUUGGAUUUCUGUGGGGACGGAGCGGCCGGCCGCACAUCGCGGUUCGAGCUAGCGCUUUCCCUACAUCCUGCCGCGAACCGUGCUACCAUUAGUUUGGUGGCGCCGGGGAUCGGCUCGAUUACUUUGAGAAAAAUAGAGUGUUCAAAGCAGGCCACAUGCCUUGAAUAAGUUAGCAUGGAAUAAUAACUAAGGACUUCGGUUCUAUUUUGUUGGUGUUCGGGACUGAAGUAAUGAUUGAUAGGGACAGUUGGGGCGGUCAGUAUUCCAAAGCGAGAGGUGAAAUUCUUAGACCUUCGGAAGACAAACAGCUGCGAAAGCGUUCCGCAAGGAUGUUCCCUUUGAUCAAGAACGAAAGUUGGGGGAUCGAAGACGAUCAGAUACCGUCGUAGUCUCAACUAUAAACUAUACCAGCUAGGGAUCGGCCAACGUUAUUUUAUACCGACUUGGUCGGCACCUUAUGAGAAAUCAAAGCAUCUGGGUUCCGGGGGGAGUAUGGUCGCAAGGCUGAAACUUAAAGGAAUUGACGGAAGGGCACCACCAGCCGUGGAGCCUGUGGCUUAAUUUGACUCAACACGGGAAAACUUACCAGGUCCAGACAUAGUAAGGAUUGACAGAUUGAUAGCUCUUUCUUGAUUCUGUGGGUGGUGGUGCAUGGCCGUUCUUAGUUGGUGGAGUGAUUUGUCUGGUUAAUUCCGUUAACGAACGAGACCCCAGCCUGCUAAAUAGCGCGCGUGAGCUUUGCUCGCGGCGAGCUUCUUAGAGGGACUAUGAUGCGCGAUAGCACAUGGAAGUUUGGGGCAAUAACAGGUCUGUGAUGCCCUUAGAUGUUCUGGGCCGCACACGGGCUACACUGGCGCCUGCAACGAGCAUAUCAGCUGGCCCGAGAGGGUCUUGGCUAAUCUUUUGAACCGGCGCCGUGCUUGGGAUUGACCUUUGCAAUUGUUGGUCAUGCAACGAGGAAUGCCUUGUAAACGCGAGUCAUCAGCUCGCAUUGAAUACGUCCCUGCCCUUUGUACACACCGCCCGUCGCUCCUACCGAUGAAUGUUCCGAUGAAAUUUUCGGAGAGCACCUGUGAACUUGGCUCUGCCUUGCGAACGGGAGGCUCAAAGUCACUUAAAUCGAAACUUAAGG